CCUCAUCUCAUUCCCCAUGUGAGCGCGUAGACGGACGGACGCGUGCACGUAAACAUAACAAUAAACAAACGUGAACAAUAUAAACAAAUCAUGCUAACAAUCGUGUUUACACAGUGAAGUGACGUGACGUUAACAUAAUGAACCGAACGGUCCUUUUCGCCCUGUGCGUCACAAUCCUAGCAACCAGCGUCGCAGGCUACCGCCUCCUGCCAUGGCACAGGUCCCUGCAACCCGACACCCACACACAGUCAUCGGAGACUGCACGUACAUCGAACCUUAAUGUGUCUGACGACUACAGAAAGUAUAGUUACCUAAUAACUACAUACUUAUGACACAAGUAGGAUGGCUAGAUUUAGAUAUGUGAGACGCUAUAACGCAGGUUCGAUGUGUUGCCUCCCUGUCGCACUUACGUACAAAUUUACAAGUGCGACAGAGAGGUAACAUGUCGAACGUUGUUCGCGGUAAUCACUCAGUUUAGUGCGGAGCUCAAAAAAUAUAUAAAAGAUUUAAGUCCCGCUUUAGUUCAAUUAUGUAUAAAUUUAUAUAAUUGAUAUAAGUUACCAUAUGUCCGUGAAAAUAUUUAUGUGUAAAUUAAUAUUUAUAUUUUUAAUAGACAAAAUCAAUAAAUUUAAAA